rnacentral:rRNA from 1 species
AUGCUGGUCGUGGAGGUGGAGGUGGCUGUGGAACACUGCUCUUGCUUGCUGGCCCCCCUCUCCUCUCCUCUCUCGAGGGAGAGAGGGGAAAGAGGGAGAGUGGUGACUAUGGGGAAACACACGCACACACACACGAGCGACCAGGCUUCACCCUUCAAAUUAAACCCCCAUCUCUCUCCUUACCUGUUGGUGCGACAGCCUAGUGUGGGUCUCUCUCUCUCUCUCUCUCUCUCUCUCUCUCAACUUGUCAUGGUAGCUAUAGUCACCACUCACCAGCACCUUUUGCUUUGCUCCCUCCUCCGCCUCAGGUCCUCGUCAGUCGAUGAGAAAGAGGAGGGAUGCGCCCCUUGCCAUGCUGGGUAA